AGCAGCAGAAAAGAGAUAUCAGCAGUAGCGAAGACAUGAGAAAUAAAACAAUAAAGCUAUGUAGUUUAGCUUUCAAAGUUGCAAAAAAGUAUAUUUUAGUAAAUAUUUAGAAGGUUAAAUAUGAAUAGGGCUCUGUGCUUUGUCUUUUGUAAACGAACCAUUGUAUGAGAGAAAAAGUUGCUAUUGUUUUAACCAAAGCUACGUGUGCUUCAUGUGGUUGGAUAGAAUGACUGUCAAUAUGCUUUUGCUCUAUGUAACUGGCUGAAACUAGGUCUGAAACUAUCUUAUAAUAUGUUGUAACAUUAAGUUUCCUUGGCCUGCUGUCUGGAUAGCGAGCUGCUCGCAUCGAUCCAUUGCCAUAGCCAUGUAAUGAGACUGAUGCUUCUUAAAUAAACAGCUCACGACGCUGUUCAGGUGUGGUCCCGUUCCGUUCGUGUCUGUAAAUAGUUGCCGGCGUCAAAUGGUGCCCCUCUGUGAGGAGGACUUUAGACUAGAAUAAAAAAGAAAAUCUUGGAUAAACUCGGGUGCCGGAGACCCAGGAGGAAUACUUCAUCCCUUCGCCUUCUACAUCUGAUGUCUUUGUAAGUAAUCUUUUUCUAGGGGCUUCCUGGGUGACGAAAAUGAAAAAUCAUUUAUCUAAAACAGAAUGGGACGUUUUUUACCGGCUUGAGAAAAUGUUACAAGAUAAAGGACGUUCAGAUAUCACAAAAAAUGAACUGAAAGACUUAUUAGUCUGGGUAAAAGCGAACACUCAAAAUAUAGACUUGCAGUCUGCUUUUACCUUUGUUUUUUGGGAUCAAAUAAACUGGAAAAUCUAUAAUCUGUUCUCUCUCAAAAAGGACGAAACUAUAUACAAAUUCAUGCCUGUUUCCAGGGCUUUGUUAGAGUGUUUUAAACAAACUGAUGAUAAUACAGACAUUUCCAAACAACAGAACAAAAUAUCUUGUUCAGAUGCUUUAAAUCCACGUAAUACCGAGUCACUGUCCUUUUCUGUGGAAGUUUCGGGUUCCACUCCGAGUUCCUUUCCUUCCAAAGCGUCCAGUGUCAUGUCUUCCGGAGACGGCGAACCGGAACAGCUUCCAUCUCGGGUCACGUCCCCUGUUUCUUCCAGGCUUGUCAGCGUUUCUGCAGCUGAGAGCAUUCCUUCGCCCCUCCCUCUGGGAAAAAAUGGACUUUUGCCGUGUCGGGAAAGUUGUUCGGAGAUUUUGUUGCAUUCCGGGAAUGAGAAUGUGCGCGAGUUCUGUUCGGGGGUGGGUGCGAGCCGCGUGAAGGUGGUGGAUGAAAAUCUGCCGAGGUUUCGUGAUAAAGGAAUUGCAUGUUCUGAAACUGUACAAGCAGGGUUAGCCGAGAUGGGCUUGGGAUCUGUUUUGCCUGGUCUGGAAACUGUGGGGGUCACUCCUGCCACUGUUUCCUCUUCUCAUGCAGACACCCCUUUGGGUUUGAUUCAGGCGGGCUGUGUGUGUUGUCAUUCGAAAAAUCCUUUUCUAGUGAAUUGUUCUGUUAAGCCUCUGCCAGGUUUUUCUGUGGCUCACCAAGCUUUUGGUACAGAGGAUGAAAUAGCUGUAGCUGUAACUCUGCCUUCAGAGAACAGGGCAGGGGAAAAGAUAGAGGUAGCAGUCGACAACCAAGGUUUUAAAAAGAAAGCAGGAGAUUUUCGAAAGGUCCCUGUUGAGGCACCGACUGAGAUUUUGAGGGAUUUGAAAUCUGUCUCAUUUGUUGGUGAAGGAAAAAAUAGCAUUUCAAACCUGCAGUCUAAUGUUGGUAACCCUCCAGCUGAGUCCUCGCUGGCAGGGAGACAGUGUGAAACAUGCAGUAAGGUUUUAGAAAUUAUCAGAGAUAAAAAUUCAAGGACAAGUAGCCAAGCUGAGACAAAUUUUGGAUUUUUUCCACAAUCCAGAGAAUACAAUUCCUCCCCGGCCCCUCUUGGGAGGGCUCCGGAGGGGGUGUGGUCCACGGUUGAGCCCGCCUCUGUCCCUCUGGGCAGGGCUCCAGGAGAGGCGUGUUGUUCAGGUGUCUCUGCUAGGAAUUCGGAGGUGUGUUCUCCCGUCCAUCCUGGCAGAACUCCUGGGAAAGUUCGUUGCUACAGCAACGUCCCUGCCAAGAAUUCGGACACUGGCAGGGUUCCCGGAACAGCCACUGUCAGUGAAACUGUCAAUUCUAACCCUGAUCCUCCUUUAAAGCUGCCGGACUGGUCUAAUAUUAAUCAACAAUUAGAAAAAGAUUUGGAUUCAAAGAAACAACUCCUUGCAUUACCUGUAAGAUAUGGUCGUAAUGAUGUUAACCCUAGAUAUGAAAGUCUCUCUCACCAUGAUAUAAAGGAAUUACGUCAGGCUUUGAAAGAAAGUGGGUUCUCUUCUCCUUAUUUUAAUAGUGUGUUGAAAAGUAUUUUUAAUUCUCACGAUUUAGUCCCUGCUGAUUGUCGAAAUAUAGCUUCACUGAUUUUAACCAAUUCACAAUACCUUCUAUGGGAAUUACAAUGGAAAAAACUUCUUAAUAAGUUGGUUGAAAAAUAUGCAAAUACUGAUCAUGCAGAUUUAGAUGUUGUUCAAUUAGCAGGCGAUCCACCUUACCACAGAGCAGAAAAUCAAGCAGCAGAUUUGCCUCGGUCUGUAUUAGCUGAUAUUAAAGAUGCUGCUAGGGAAGCCUUCUUUUCAGUAGAGCCAGCUGGCACACAUGUAAAUUCUUAUACCUUGAUUAAACAAGGUGAAACAGAAUCCUAUGGUUCUUUUUUGGAUAGACUAACCCAAGCAGUUGAAAGGCAAUGUCCAGAUGAAAAAGCUCGUUCUUAUAUUGUCCAAAACCUUGCUUUUGUAAAUGCUAAUGAUGAAUGUAGAAAAAUUAUUUUAGCUUUGCCUGAUCAGCCUCCAACUGUUGUGCAGAUGUUAACAGCAUGCAGCAGAAUAGGUGGAUCACAACACCUUGCAAAUUUACAGGUCAAUACGUUAGAAAAAACAUUAGAAGAUAAUUUGGCAAAACGAAUGGAUAAAUUUGAAGAGUUUUUAGAAAAAAAGCUUGGGGAAAAUUCUGUUAACACUGCACAGUUGGAAUCUGAUAAAAGGUCUUGUUGCUUUGCUUGUGGUAAACCAAAUCAUGUUAAAAAGGAUUGUCCUGCGAAAAUAUUUCCACCAAAACAACUUUCUGUCUGCCCUCGAUGCCGAAAAGGGAGGCAUCUUGCUAAGCAUUGUCACUCUCUUUUUGAUAUUGAUGGCAAGCCUCUGUCGUUAAACUUCAAAAACAGCGCGCAUUACCACCGCGCUCAGACACAAGUAGUGGUACCCCCUGGCAGCCAGGUACCCACUCAAAUGGUGAUGGUACCUCAGUCAUUUGUGCCUCAAUCAACCAAUCCACAAACGAUCCCAGCUCAAUAUCCUCAAGCACAAGGAUCGAAUUGGCCUCCUCAAAAUUAAUUCCUCUAUUAAACAAUUUAUGCUGGGUGAACAUUCCUACUGGAAUUGUCAAUCCUUUUCAGCAAGGGCAAGAAUUUUUAAUUUUAGGCAAAGUCAAUAACAAAUUUCUUGAACUCUCAAUUCUUCCUACUGUUGUUUCAGUAAACUCUAAUGAAGAGCUAAAGAUUUUAGCUCUUGCACUUGAAGUUCCUAUGGUAAUUCCUCCAAAAACACCUAUUGCUAUUGCAUUUCUGUUUCCUGUGAAUACCCACAAGCAAAACAAUUUUCCAAAGAAUUCAAUCAUGUCUGUACCUUCCAGUACCUCAGGUCCAGAGGUCUUUUGGGUGCAAUGUUUGGACCAUGACCGACCUCAAUUAACUUGUAGCCUGACUCACUGUGGUAAAACAAUUUAUGUUACAGGCAUGCCAGAUACUGGUGCAGAUGUCACUGUAAUUUCUCACAUGUUUUGGCCUAAUGACUGGAAUUUAGUAGCUCCUUCAGGUUCCCUCACUGGGAUUGGAGGUGCUACUGUGUGUCUGCAAAGUGCAUCCAUGAUUAACAUUACAGGUCCUGAAGGAAAGACUGCAGCGGUGCGUCCUUUUGUUGUUCAGAAGCCUCUCACCGUCUGGGGAAGAGACGUUCUUUCCCAGUGGGGAGCGAAACUGGAAGUGUAAUGACAGCCACGUUGAAACCUGCCACUUUAAAGAUUACCUGGAAAACUGAUCAUCCUAUAUGGAUUGAUCAAUGGCCUUUGACAGAGAAAAAAUUAAAUAUCCUUAAUAAAUUGGUAAAGGAACAAUUACAGCAGGGUCACAUCGUCCCAACAAACAGUCCCUGGAAUUCACCAGUCUUCGUCAUCCACAAGAAAACAUCAGACUCCUGGAGGUUGCUUCAUGACCUGAGGAAGAUCAAUGAGGUGAUCGAAGACAUGGGACCUCUUCAACCUGGACUGCCUUCUUUAUCAAUGAUCCCAAGACACUGGCCUCUCGUCGUCAUUGAUUUAAAGGACUGUUUUUUCCACAUUCCACUUCAUCCUGAUGAUGCUCCAAGAUUUGCUUUUUCAGUUCCUGUCAUCAAUCGAACGGAACCCGUGCAGAGAUAUCACUGGAAAUCACUGCCACAAGGGAUGAAGAACUCGCCUAUAAUUUGUCAAUAUUUCGUCGCCCAAGCUUUGUCUCCUGCUCGACAGAAAUUUCCAAAAUCCGUCAUUCUACACUACAUGGAUGAUUUGCUCAUCACAGCUUCAACGCAGGAAGAGAUGGAGCAAACCCGUGCUUGUGUUGUCGCUGAAAUCCAAAAGGCUGGACUUGAAAUUUCUACAACAAAAAUCCAGGAAGUUCCACCCUGGAAGUAUCUGGGAUGGAAGAUGACUGAAACGACAAUAACACCGCAGAAGAUACAGAUCCAGACCAGUGUCAACAACCUGCAAGACUUGCAACAACUUUUGGGAGAAAUCAACUGGGUCAGACCUGUUUUGGGAAUCACCAACGAUGAACUGAGUCCACUUCUCGAUCUGCUAAGAGGAAGCUGUGACAUCACUUCCCCAAGAACCUUAACCCCUGAAGCUCGUGCUGCACUCGACAAGAUCACAGAAACUCUCCAAAGAAGACAAGCUCAUCGCUGCAUUCCUGAAAAACCUUUAUUUUUUGCAGUUUUAGGAGAAAAAAUGCAACUUUGUAGUCUCAUUUUUCAGUGGGACCCUUCUGAGCCUGAUCCUUUGUUAAUCAUAGAAUGGAUUUUUCUUCCCUACAGGUCUCCAAAGACAAUUUUCACAGUCUUAGAAAUGAUUGCACAAAUUGUAAUUAAGGCCAGAACCAGAUUGUUAACUUUAGCAGGCCAAGAAUUUGCAGUUAUCUAUUUGCCAUUGAAAAAAGACUAUCUUCAUUGGGCAAUGCAAAAUUCUGAUGAUUUACAGUAUGCUUUCUUGGGCUUCCCAGGUGCUUGUUCUGUUCACUACCCAUCUCACAAACUAUUGCAGGCAAAAUUGAGUUUUAGAGAAAAACCUAAAUUAAGUGAAGAACCUUUGAAUGCAGUCACUCUCUUCACUGAUGGCUCUGGCAAAAGUCACAAAUCGGUCAUAACUUGGUUGAACCAAAAAACUAAUGCUUGGGAGUCAGACAUUCAAAUAGUAGAAGGGUCACCUCAGAUUGUUGAGCUUGCUGCUGUGGUUCGAGCUUUUCAGCUCUUUCCUCAACCACUUCACUUGAUAACAGAUUCUGCUUAUGUUGCUAAUGUAGUUAGGAGAUUAGAAGGGUCAAUUUUAAAAGAUGUUAGUAAUGAUACUUUAUAUCAUUGGCUUUCAUGUCUUUAUACAACUUUGCAAUAUAGAACUAAUCCAUAUUUUGUUUCUCACAUCAGGGCUCAUUCUUCUCUUCCUGGAUUUUUAGUGGAAGGAAACGUGAGAGCGGACAAACUGACGAUGGUCAUUUCAAACACUUUGCCAAACAUUUUUGAACAAGCAAAACUGAGUCAUGCCUUUUUUCACCAAAACGCUCAAGCACUUGUGCGAAUGUUUCAAAUUACUAAAAGUCAAGCUAAAGCUAUCAUCAAUACUUGCCCUGACUGUCAGCUUGUGCAACCUCCUGUUUCCACAGGAGCAGUCAAUCCACGAGGUUUGCAAAGCCUGCAGUUAUGGCAAACAGAUAUCACUAAAUACCCUUCCUUUGGCAAAUUUAAAAACAUUCAUGUUUCAGUAGACACGUUCUCUGGUGCAAUGUUUGCUUCUCUUCACACAGGUGAAACAGGCAAUCACGCCUGUCAUCAUUUCCUGCAAGCUUUUGCUUCAUUGGGUGUACCCCAAGAAGUAAAAACUGACAAUGGUCCCGCAUACAUAUCUCAAAAAUUGGCCACAUUUCUAAAAGAAUGGGGUGUUCGUCACAUCUUUGGUAUUCCUCACUCUCCCACAAGCCAAGCAAUUAUUGAAAGGGCACAUCAAACACUAAAACGCAUUUUAGAUCAACAGAGAGGGGGAGCAGAGGUCACACCUCAGAUGAGACUGAACAAAGCUUUGUAUGUUUUUAAUUUCCUAAACAGUUCAUUUGCAGAACCUGAUCCACCAAUUUUUAGGCAUUUUUCAAAUAACACUCAGGCAAAACUGAAAGAAAAUCCACCUGUUUUAAUUAGAAACCCUGAAUCUGGACAAAUUGAAGAUCCUUUCCGAUUAAUAACCUGGGGCAAAGGGUAUGCUUCUGUCUCUACAGGUGCUGGAAUUAGGUAGGUCCCAGCCAAGAACGUCAAACCAUAUCGCACCCCAGAACGUGUUGACGAGUCCAGAACCGAGGAAGCAAGCACGCAGACGUGAGCCGAGCAGAGGGAUCCCGGGUCACGCCUGACGUUCCUUGUGCAUCGUGAACUUUGAAGCCCUGAUCGUUGCAAUGUCCGUGGUGGGAGGAACACUUCUGAUCAUGUUGGGGGUCUGCUGCUGCUGCUGCUGUUGUAAGAAAAAGAGCAAAAAGCCGGACAAGGAUGACGAGAGAGCAGCCAGGGAGCGGGAGAAGAGGCGGGUGCGGCAGGAGGAGAGGUGAGUUUGUACCACAGGCCCUGAGGCUGCAGGAUGACUUGGCUGCUGUCUGUGCCAUCAAAUGUGAUGCCAGGAGGCACGUGGGGCUCAGCACAUGCAGUCAGUGGCUGCUUCAGCCCUAGCUCACACACAAGCCUCAUUAGGAGUGUCACGCCGGGGUGACUCGUGGAUGUAGCAUCACAAGUUUUGUGUAUGCAGCUCCCUGAGGGCUGCUGAUGUGUGGGCUCUGGUGGUCCCCAGAGACUCCCUGAGGUGGCAGGCUGAGCAAACCUGCCAGCCUGGAGCUCCCUUGUUUGGGAAUAAGCAAGGAGCUCUGGCUCUUCUUGUUCCCUUUUGUACCACCAGUUACUGACUCAUGGCUUUUUUGUUUGCCUCUCGCAGGAGAGCAGAGAUGAAAUCACGGCAUGAUGAAAUCCGAAGAAAAUACGGUACAGUGCUGACAUGAGUGAUUCAAACUAAGCUUUAGAUGAAGCAGCCUCUGUAACUGUGCUCCUUGCCAUGGUUACAGCUGUAGAUGAGACCUGGCCAGCAGGGAAAAUAUGGUCCCUGCUUCUCUUGGCUCAGAGUAAGUGUAGAGAUGCUGGGGUCAUGGUGUGUGAGCCCAUACAAGGGCUACUUUUCCUGGGCAGGGAAGAGGAAGUGUAUAAUGUUCUCCAGAAUGUGUUCUCCAAGCUUACCACGUGGGAGAAGUUGAUGGAGCUUGACUAGAAGGUAGAAGCAGAAGCUGGCAGACACAGCACCAUCAUAAUCCUGUUACCCUUCAGACACAUCCCUCCAGUAAUUCUGUGGUUAGCCAGCAGUCUGAGGUGUGGGGCCAGGUAGGAAUCAGAAUGCCCACAGCUGCAGGAGCACAGAGCAGGCACCAAUCCCACCCCAGCUCCUCUGUGCCAGCAGUGGUGUCUCAGUCCCCUGGGGAUGGGAGUGCACAGCCUCCCUCCUGGGGCUGAACUGCCCCUCAGGUGAG